rnacentral:rRNA from 1 species
UACGGGGGGGGGCAAGCGUUUGUUCGGAAUUACUGGGCGUAAAGGGCUCGUAGGUGGCCAACUAAGUCAGACGUGAAAUCCCUCGGCUUAACCGGGGAACUGCGUCUGAUACUGGAUGGCUUGAGUUUGGGAGAGGGACGCGGAAUUCCAGGUGUAGCGGUGAAAUGCGUAGAUAUCUGGAGGAACACCGGUGGCGAAGGCGGGUCUCUGGGCAGUAACUGACGCUGAGGAGCGAAAGCGUGGGGAGGCGAACAGG